UAGUCCACGCCCUAAACGAUGUCUACUAGUUGUUGGGUCUUAAUUGACUUGGUAACGUAGCUAACGCGUGAAGUAGACCGCCUGGGGAGUACGGUCGCAAGAUUAAAACUCAAAGGAAUUGACGGGGACCCGCACAAGCGGUGGAUGAUGUGGAUUAAUUCGAUGCAACGCGAAAAACCUUACCUACCCUUGACAUGUCAGGAACUUUCCAGAGAUGGAUUGGUGCCCGAAAGGGAGCCUGAACACAGGUGCUGCAUGGCUGUCGUCAGCUCGUGUCGUGAGAUGUUGGGUUAAGUCCCGCAACGAGCGCAACCCUUGUCAUUAAUUGCCAUCAUUAAGUUGGGCACUUUAAUGAAACUGCCGGUGACAAACCGGAGGAAGGUGGGGACGACGUCAAGUCCUCAUGGCCCUUAUGGGUAGGGCUUCACACGUCAUACAAUGGUACAUACAGAGGGUUGCCAAGCCGCGAGGUGGAGCAAAUCCCAGAAAGUGUAUCGUAGUCCGGAUCGCAGUCUGCAA
rnacentral:rRNA from 1 species